GAUGAACGCUGGCGGCGUGCCUAAUACAUGCAAGUCGAGCGAACAGACGAGGAGCUUGCUCCUCUGACGUUAGCGGCGGACGGGUGAGUAACACGUGGAUAACCUACCUAUAAGACUGGGAUAACUUCGGGAAACCGGAGCUAAUACCGGAUAAUAUAUUGAACCGCAUGGUUCAAUAGUGAAAGACGGUUUUGCUGUCACUUAUAGAUGGAUCCGCGCCGCAUUAGCUAGUUGGUAAGGUAACGGCUUACCAAGGCAACGAUGCGUAGCCGACCUGAGAGAGGGGUAGGCCACACUGGAGCUGAGACACGGUCCAGACUCCUACGGGAGGCAGCAGUAGGGAAUCUUCGGCAAUGGGCGAAAGCCUGACGGAGCAACGCCGCGUGAGUGAUGAAGGUCUUCGGAUCGUAAAACUCUGUUAUGAGGGAAGAACAAAUGUGUAAGUAGCUAUGCACGUCUUGACGGUACCUAAUCAGAAAGCCACGGCUAACUACGUG
rnacentral:rRNA from 1 species